rfam:Limnoraphis robusta CS-951 contig069, whole genome shotgun sequence.
GUCAAGAACUCGCCGCUAAACCCUAUGCGCUUUUCGCGCAGCAGGCUUCGCCAACGGGUUAAGCGCGGGAGCUUGUAAAAAGGCUCUAACUUGACCAGACUCAGCCCUUUUUGGGGCUACGUUAUUUGGCUCACGAAACCCAUGAAUGCGUGCCAGUUUGCGGCUCUUUCGUACAGUUUUAAACAGGCGUAACGAGUUAAGCCAGUGAACUAUACCUAACAAGGCUAAAUAACAUUGUCGAGGCAAACUUUAC